UAUUGUUUUGAUGCUAUGGCUUUAUAGUAUAGCUUAAAAGCAGGAAGUAUGGUGCCUCCUACUUUGUUCUUUUUCAGGAUUUCUUUGCUUUUUUGGGGUCUUUUUUGGUUCC